GGGGACCGCAAGGCCUUGCGUCGAUGGAGCGGCCGAUGUCGGAUUAGCUAGUUGGUGGGAAGGACGCUACCAAGGCGACGAUCCGUAGCUGGUCUGGGAGGACGACCAGCCACACUGGGACUGAGACACGGCCCAGACUCCUACGGGAGGCAGCAGUGGGGAAUCUUGGACAAUGGGCGCAAGCCUGAUCCAGCAAUGCCGCGUGUGGGAAGAAGGCCUUCGGGUUGUAAACCACUUUUGGCAGGAAAGAAAUCGUCCGUGCUAAUACCAUGGAUGGAUGACGGUACCUGCAGAAUAAGCACCGGCUAACUACGUG
rnacentral:rRNA from 1 species